rnacentral:rRNA from 1 species
CGUAGGUGGCAAGCGUUGUCCGGAUUUAUUGGGUUUAAAGGGUGCGUAGGCGGUUCCAUAAGUCAGUGGUGAAAUACAAUAGCUUAACUAUUGAGGUGCCAUUGAUACUGCGGAACUUGAGUACAGACGAGGUAGGCGGAAUUGACGGUGUAGCGGUGAAAUGCUUAGAUAUCGUCAAGAACACCGAUAGCGAAGGCAGCUUACUAGACUGUAACUGACGCUGAGGCACGAAAGUGUGGGGGAUCAAACAGGAUUAGAUACCCUGGUAGUCCACACUGUAAACGAUGAUUACUCGAUGUUGGCGAUACACAGCCAGCGUCUUAGCAAAAGCGAUAAGUAAUCCACCUGGGAGUACGCCGGCAACGGUG